rnacentral:misc_RNA from 1 species
AUAAGAUUGACCUUCGGGUCCUUCAUCCUUCAAACCUGUGGAAGUGAGAUGUGCUUCGGCGCCUCCGGGCGUCGAAUCUAUGCUGAUUAGCCUGUGUCUGAAGAAAAACAAAAUUUA